rnacentral:lncRNA from 1 species
GGGGUGAGGGGUAAGAGGAGAACCAGGAGCCACAGCCGCGGCUCACGCCCCACCGCAACAUUAAGAUUACAAGUGGACACCUGAGUCAGCAGGACCUGGAAUCCCAGAUGAGAGAGCUUAUCUACACGACUCAGAUCUUGUUGUCACCCCCAUUAUUGACAAUCCAAAGGUGCAGAAAGCACUCUGACAAAUGGGCCAAGGUUGCUCGGGUGAUUGGUUUACUGGCUUCGCACAAAACUGAUCUCCAGGAAAAUACACCUGUUGUUGAGGCCUUCCCUAACAGUCCCAGAACUCCUACAUUGCCUGGUGUGCUGACCUAAAGCCCUCAUUAAGACCAGUAACAAAUCAAGCCUAUCUUAUCAACUGACAACACAUUCUGGAACCAUGGCGUGUCCAUGGAUAAGACAUGAAGUCCUUCUUUCAAGACUUGGUUUUCUGGUCCUGGAAAAUACCAAUAUGGAUAAAAGACCUUCAAAGCUGCUACGAUGGGUAAGGAACAAUGCACACAGUAUACCAUUAAGGCAAAGAAGAUAGUCUUAAUCCUGUAUGAAAUGCCAAUGAAGAUGUAAUUAAUGAAUAGACAUUUCAUUGAAAUGAAAUCAAAAGACAUUUUCCUUCUCUGACAUAACAGAGUAGAACUCUCUAGUAAGAACACAAAACUGACCAGCCUGACCAAUGUGAUAAAACCCCCUGUCUCUACUAAAAAGACAAAAAUUAGCCAUGCAUGGUAGCAGAUGCUUGUAAUCCCAGCUACUCAAGAGGCUCAGGCAUGAGAAUCUCUUGAACCCAAAAGGUGGAGGCUGCAGUGAGUCGAGAUCGCACAACUGCACUUCACCCUGGGCGACAAAGCAAGACUUUGUUUUUUAAAAAAAAGAA